rfam:Megamonas funiformis YIT 11815 genomic scaffold supercont1.1, whole genome shotgun sequence.
GCCGAAGUGGCGGAAUUGGCAGACGCACUUGACUCAAAAUCAAGCGUAGUCCCCUACGUGCCGGUUCGAGUCCGGCCUUCGGCA